CGUUGUCUCUGACAACACCCAAAGCCUCCACGACCUGCAAGGUGGCGCUUACGGCGGUCAAACCCAAAUCCAUUUAGCCUUUGUAAACGGAUGCCGCAAACUGCGGUGAAGGUACUC
rnacentral:sRNA from 2 species